rnacentral:rRNA from 1 species
GACGAACGCUGGCGGCGUGCUUAACACAUGCAAGUCGAACGGAAAGGCCCUGCUUUUGUGGGGUGCUCGAGUGGCGAACGGGUGAGUAACACGUGAGUAACCUGCCCUUGACUUUGGGAUAACUUCAGGAAACUGGGGCUAAUACCGGAUAGGAGCUCCUGCUGCAUGGUGGGGGUUGGAAAGUUUCGGCGGUUGGGGAUGGACUCGCGGCUUAUCAGCUUGUUGGUGGGUAGUGGCUUACCAAGGCUUUGACGGGUAGCCGGCCUGAGAGGGUGACCGGCCACAUUGGGACUGAGAUACGGCCCAGACUCCUACGGGAGGCAGCAGUGGGGAAUAUUGCACAAUGGGCGGAAGCCUGAUGCAGCAACGCCGCGUGCGGGAUGACGGCCUUCGGGUUGUAAACCGCUUUCGCCUGUGACGAAGCGUGAGUGACGGUAAUGGGUAAAGAAGCACCGGCUAACUAC